rnacentral:lncRNA from 1 species
ACUGGGGCAUGUUAAAACCCAUUUAUUGGUCAAAACUUUACAAACCAAGAACUUUUAGAAAGCGUACAGCAACACGCACAAUGUAGAAAAUAUAAACAUUCACCAUCUCCUAUAAAGACUUUAACAAGAAAUAAACUGUUACUUCACAGUUUUGAGCGAUAUAAAGAAGGAAACCUCUUCCAUACAUGUCUCCAAUUUUUAUUUAGAGAAUUCAAUCGUUUCUUAGAAACACCGUGACUAAAGGUCGCCGUGAUGCUGGAGAAAUCUCCGUAGCAGUUUCUGUUCUCCAUAUACUACGAAAGGGGAGAUGGUCCUUUGAACUAUUUGCACGGCCAGAGGAAUCCAAGUGAGGAUGGUGGAGGCAAAAGUAGUCCACGGAUGAACGUCCAUCUCCCACUGGAUGGUAUGACCACGACAGUACAAAGGCCAGGCUAGAGACCCCAGAGACGCACCAGAGGGGACUUCAGAGAUCAUCCGCUCCCAAGAGGAAGGAGUGAGCCUCCUCAGCAGCCAGUGGAGGACCAGAGGCUAAAGGGUUAUUUGAAACAGGAGCCCGACAGGUAAAAAAGAAAGCACGGUUGUUGUGUUUUCUGGGUGUCUCCAUGUGACUGUCCCCCACUCUGGGCAGCUGGAAUCCAACCAGAAAGGCUGAAGGCUCCAAGUUGGUCUGGAAAUGGAGUAGGGGAGGAAUAUACGGCCCUUGGGAACACAAGGAGGUCAGAUUUAUCUUUAUGCUCAAGAGAGGCUACGAGAAUUCUUAACCAGAAUCUAAGAGCUAUAAAAAAAAAAAAAAAAAGGGCAGCUGUGCAACCAGCUGGAGGAAGCUCGAGCCAGAACAGGCUUGGGGCCGUCGGCACAGGGGCAGGGGCCCUGCUGCCACUUGCCUGUGUAAUGGGAUUGCUCUGCCCCGUAUUAGGGGGAGGACCCUUGGCGGGCUGUCACCGCCUGGCCUGGAGCCCCUCGCCUGCCCCCUGCCCGUGCGGGGGGCCGCCUGCCGCUGGAGUCCUGGACGUCACCCAGGCACACAUGCCAAACCCCCCCGUGGAAGGGAGGAGCAACAGGCGCUGUACUGGUCUCGGAAGAGCUGUUCCAGGUCCCAGCGAGACAGAGCUGGCGCCGGACGUGCUGAAUCCCUCGCUUUAGGAGCGUCCUUAGUCACACUCUGCGUUCUGACCCUCGUGUUUUAUGCAAGGUCAGGGCAACAAACCUGAUCACAGGUUAAUCAACAAGUGUGGGGAGCAGCCACCCUGCUCCGCCGGGGGGCCCAGCUGCUUCGGCUGCAGAAGGACCAACCGCCGGACUCUAGCUCUAAAGCCUGGCUCCCACACACAAUCGUCCCACUGCCAGGUUGGUGCCGUAAGCAUCUCACGGCCCGGCCCUGGGGGCCACAAGCAAACGCGCACACCCCCAGAUCCCGCCACCGAGGAGCCCAUCACCCCACCAGCAACCUAUGGAUUGAGAUAGACCUUCGCCUUCCCAUAUAAGAUAUUAAGGCUCAAGGAGGGGCCCUUGCAGGGCUCAGUGGUUGAGCAUCUGCCUUCAGUUCAGGGCGUGACCCCGGGGUCCUUGGAUUGAGUCCCGCAUCGGGUUCCCCCGACAGAGCCUGCUUCUCCCUCUGCCUGUGUCUCUGCCUCUCUCUCUCUGUGUCUCUCAGGAAUAAAUAAAUAAAAUCUUAAAAAAAAAAAAAAAAGGCACAAGGCUGUGGGUGUUUGUGAAGGAUUAAUUAAAAUAACAGAUAUAGGAUAUUAGAUAAAUCCCUUGGCUUUAAACAUAAAAAAAUCACUUCUGUACUUGCCAUCGCAGAGAAACUGGCACAAUUAGUUGGUUAUAUAAAAGCUGCUUUUUUAAAUUUUCCUUUAAAAAGAUAUACAAAUCCUAUUUGGAGUAACUCUUCCAGCCCCAGAAAUAGACAUUUUAUCACUUAGUUUAAAAACACAAAUACAGUAUCAGAACUUGAGCAGCCUUGGGCUAGUGGGGGGAAAAAAACAACUAACUGACCAAACCAAUCAACGAAUCAACAAAUCCCAUCAACACUGUUUCUGGUCAGAGGAAAAGAAAACAGAGUAAAUGCACCCAAAACUCAUUUUCAUAUUUAACACAAACCUUGGUAAUUUGCAUUGUGGGCGAGGCAGUUUGGAAGAGAUGUGAAGUUACAGAGGGAGGGACACUGCAUCUAGAUGCUGCCUCCUGUGCUUUCCAUGACCAAAGCAUCCCUUCUAUUGAAGGUAGGGAUUUUACUUUUUUUUCCCCAAGAUUUUAUUUAUUUAUUCAUGAGAGACACAGAGAGAGGCAGAGACACAGGCAGAGGGAGAAGCAGGCUCCCUUCAGGGAGCCCGACGUGGGACUGGAUCCCAGGAUCCCGGGGUCAUGACCUGAGCCAAAGGCAGAUGCUUAACCCCUGAGCCACCCAGGUGUCCCGGGAUUUUUACUUUUAAUGCUAUACAUAUAAAGGCUUAGCCAUCAUCCCUGAAGUAUUUGGACUGUGAUUGUUUCCAUAGUCCCCAUGAAAGAUUUUCAUAAAUCAUGCAGCAUCCCCUGCCAUGGUAGCCCUGGGACAGAGCACAACUGGCUGGCCUUCAUAGGCACUGAAGCUGCAACCUUCAGUGUGAACAUAAUAGACUUAAGCUGGAUAUGGAUAAUUUCAAUACUUCCAGCUGCAAGACAAAGGAAAUGACUCAGGCUGUGCCCAGUAUGCAAGAGAAACAGGAGAGAGAAAUGUCCUGAUCAAGUGGCAUAAAUGCAUAUUUUCUCAAGGCAAUUAGCGGAGUUUCUCUUACUGUGCCCUCGGGUUCCUUUUGUUGUCAUUAUUGUUUUGCUUUGCUGUUUAAAUUUUAUGUGCAAUUGCAGAGUCAAUGAGAAUCUUUAACAGAGGCGAUCUUGGUCACACUAUAUUAGCGAAUACAAUAUAUGGCCCA